rnacentral:rRNA from 1 species
GUUGAACGCUGGCGGCGUGCCUAAUACAUGCAAGUCGAGCGAAGCGCGGACGGGUGAUUAACACGAGUAUAACUUCCUAUAAGACUAGGAUAACUUCGGGAAACCGGAGCUAAACCGGAUACUUAGAGAUCGAUGCGCGCGGCAUUAGCUAGUUGGUAAGGUAACGGCUUACCAAGGCAACGAUGCAUAGCCGACCUGAGAGGGUGAUCGGCCACACUGGAACUGAGACACGGUCCAGACUCCUACGGGAGGCAGCAGUAGGGAAUAUUCCGCAAUGGGCGAAAGCCUGAUGGAGCCACGCCGCGUGAGUGAUGAAGGUCUUCGGAUUGUAAAACUCUGUUAUUAGGGAAGCGUUACCAAAACAAAAAGCACCGGCUAACUUCGUGCCAGCAGCCGCGGUAAUAC